CUAAGAGACGCUUUUAAAGGCAAGACUGCCUUCUCCAGAAGCUCAUUCUUCAAGUCCCCUCCCCAUGCAAGCAAAGACAGUCAGGCGCUGUGAAAGUUACAUGGCAUGACAUCCUCUCAAACGCUACCUGACAGACUGCUGCAAUCACCCUGUGAAUAUUGUCUUCAUUUCCUUGUUGAUUGGUUUGAACCUGGGGUCAUUAUCUCUGCUUUGCAAAUGAAGAAGAGAAAGAAGUUCAAAAAGGAAAAGAAACUUUUGCCAAAUCGAACAGGUAGUAAGUGGUAAAGGCCUAAA
rnacentral:lncRNA from 1 species